GACGAACGCUGGCGGCGUGCUUAACACAUGCAAGUCGAACGGAAAGGCUCCAGCUUGCUGGAGUCCUCGAGUGGCGAACGGGUGAGUAACACGUGGGUAAUCUGCCCUGCACUCUGGGAUAAGCCUGGGAAACUGGGUCUAAUACUGGAUAUGACCUUUCUCCUUAUGGGGUUUGGUGGAAAGUUUUUGGGUGUAGGAUGAGCCCGCGGCCUAUCAGCUUGUUGGUGGGGUGAUGGCUUACCAAGGCGACGACGGGUAGCCGGCCUGAGAGGGUGAUCGGCCACAUUGGGACUGAGAUACGGCCCAGACUCCUACGGGAGGCAGCAGUGGGGAAUAUUGCACAAUGGGCGGAAGCCUGAUGCAGCGACGCCGCGUGAGGGAUGACGGCCUUCGGGUUGUAAACCUCUUUCAGCAGGGACGAAGCGUAAGUGACGGUACCUGCAGAAGAAGCACCGGCUAACUAUGUG
rnacentral:rRNA from 1 species